AACAAGGUCUCCGUUGGUGAACCAGCGGAGGGAUCAUUAC
rnacentral:rRNA from 8 species